AGUGAACGCUGGCGGUAGGCCUAACACAUGCAAGUCGAACGGCAGCACAGUAAGAGCUUGCUCUUACGGGUGGCGAGUGGCGGACGGGUGAGGAAUACAUCGGAAUCUACUUUUUCGUGGGGGAUAACGUAGGGAAACUUACGCUAAUACCGCAUACGACCUACGGGUGAGAGCAGGGGAUCUUCGGAACUUGCGCGAGUGAAUGAGCCGAUGUCGGAUUAGCUAGUUGGCGGGGUAAAGGCCCACCAAGGCGACGAUCCGUAGCUGGUCUGAGAGGAUGAUCAGCCACACUGGAACUGAGACACGGUCCAGACUCCUACGGGAGGCAGCAGUGGGGAAUAUUGGACAAUGGGCGCAAGCCUGAUCCAGCCAUACCGCGUGGGUGAAGAAGGCCUUCGGGUUGUAAAGCCCUUUUGUUGGGAAAGAAAAGCAGCAGGUUAAUACCCCGCUGUUCUGACGGUACCCAAAGAAUAAGCACCGGCUAACUUCGUG
rnacentral:rRNA from 1 species